CGAACGCUGGCGGCGUGCUUAACACAUGCAAGUCGAACGGAAAGGCCCUGCUUGCAGGGUGCUCGAGUGGCGAACGGGUGAGUAACACGUGGGUGAUCUGCCCCUUACUUUGGGAUAAGCCUGGGAAACUGGGUCUAAUACUGGAUAGGACCAUGCUGUAGGUGGUGUGGUGGAAAGAUUAGUUUCGGUAAGGGAUGAGCUCGCGGCCUAUCAGCUUGUUGGUGGGGUAAUGGCCUACCAAGGCGUCGACGGGUAGCCGGCCUGAGAGGGUGGACGGCCACAUUGGGACUGAGAUACGGCCCAGACUCCUACGGGAGGCAGCAGUGGGGAAUAUUGCACAAUGGGCGCAAGCCUGAUGCAGCGACGCCGCGGGGGGGAUGACGGCCUUCGGGUUGUAAACUCCUUUCAGCCAUGACGAAGCCCUUGUGGUGACGGUAGUGGUAGAAGAAGCACCGGCUAACUACGUG
rnacentral:rRNA from 1 species